ACCUACGUAGAAAUCAAUCAACAAGCCAAUAUUUGAAGCGUUAUUCAUCUGCUUUUGGUUAAGGAAAUAGUUGACUCAAGAAGGGAUGUUUGCCAGAACUGUCACGCUUCUUUCAGCAAGGGAUUGGCCAAUUGUUUGAGUACGGAAGCGACGUCUCAAAUGAUAAUGAAAACUUGCACUACUCUUGAUCUAGGCUUGUCAAAAAAUGCUGAAGUGAAUGAGAGUGAAAUCAGUUCGUUCACCAGAAAAUUGUCAUAAUGCCUUCCCGUAAAAGUGAAGCCGUCAAGGCUGCUGGCCGUUAUAGUAGGACGCAGAUAUCUACAAGAUGGAAUUAAUAAGAAUAAGAUUCGUCCACAAAAAUCAAAGAAAUGAGGAUCACAAAUAACACCCUAUUGUUGGUACUAAAGUUACAAAUACACAAGGUAUUACCAAGUGASCGACGCGAUGACACGGUGAAACGCUUCGAAAGAGAAUGACUUGAAGAAGAUAAGGCAACAGCAAUAUUUAUCUAGGAACUACCAAGACAAGAAAAUGACGAGCCAUGGUCGGCGGAGGAAGCAUCUGCUGGUGGGGCUACAAGCCUUCAUGCAAUGGCGAAUUAUAAGGUACUCAGCCUGUAAUGUCAUCAUUACUUUAUCAAGCUCUCUGUCUCUCUACUUAUCACCUUUAAUUGCACUUAUCUUCCAAAUUACACUAUGUUUGAUAUUGUAGACUGAUAUCUUAAAGCAAUYAAUUGAACAUUUAUGUAUCAUGUUGUUGUAAUACCGCUAAGCAAUUAAAUGGGGUCAUAGAUCACCUCAACGACCAUUUUGGAAGGAAGCACACACAAAAAGAUGUUUGAAGUGGAUUUUAGUGUUAAUUAGUGUUAAAGCCACUACAGGAGAAUCAAUAAGAUUUACUUAGAAUUAUCAACAAACACAUGAAAUCGUUUUUUAUAACUUUUUUUUUUACCUUUUCUUCAACUUUGAUACACAAUAUUUGACUUAAGAUUCUGCAAUUGUAUCCAGCAAAACAUAACUUUUAUGUGCAGUUUUGGCAUUUCUUCAAGUUCAUCUCUUAACAAUUUUUCUUGCCAAUUGAAUUAUAAGC